rnacentral:rRNA from 3 species
UUAAGUUAUUAAGGGCGCACGGUGGAUGCCUUGGCACUAGAAGCCGAUGAAGGACGUUACUAACGACGAUAUGCUUUGGGGAGCUGUAAGUAAGCUUUGAUCCAGAGAUUUCCGAAUGGGGAAACCCAGCAUGAGUUAUGUCAUGUUAUCGAUAUGUGAAUACAUAGCAUAUCAGAAGGCACACCCGGAGAACUGAAACAUCUUAGUACCCGGAGGAAGAGAAAGAAAAUUCGAUUCCCUUAGUAGCGGCGAGCGAAACGGGAAGAGCCCAAACCAACAAGCUUGCUUGUUGGGGUUGUAGGACACUCUAUACGGAGUUACAAAGGACGACAUUAGACGAAUCAUCUGGAAAGAUGAAUCAAAGAAGGUAAUAAUCCUGUAGUCGAAAAUGUUGUCUCUCUUGAGUGGAUCCUGAGUACGACGGAGCACGUGAAAUUCCGUCGGAAUCUGGGAGGACCAUCUCCUAAGGCUAAAUACUCUCUAGUGACCGAUAGUGAACCAGUACCGUGAGGGAAAGGUGAAAAGCACCCCGGAAGGGGAGUGAAAUAGAACCUGAAACCGUGUGCUUACAAGUAGUCAGAGCCCGUUAAUGGGUGAUGGCGUGCCUUUUGUAGAAUGAACCGGCGAGUUACGAUUUGAUGCAAGGUUAAGCAGUAAAUGUGGAGCCGUAGCGAAAGCGAGUCUGAAUAGGGCGUUUAGUAUUUGGUCGUAGACCCGAAACCAGGUGAUCUACCCUUGGUCAGGUUGAAGUUCAGGUAACACUGAAUGGAGGACCGAACCGACUUACGUUGAAAAGUGAGCGGAUGAACUGAGGGUAGCGGAGAAAUUCCAAUCGAACCUGGAGAUAGCUGGUUCUCUCCGAAAUAGCUUUAGGGCUAGCCUCAAGUGAUGAUUAUUGGAGGUAGAGCACUGUUUGGACGAGGGGCCCCUCUCGGGUUACCGAAUUCAGACAAACUCCGAAUGCCAAUUAAUUUAACUUGGGAGUCAGAACAUGGGUGAUAAGGUCCGUGUUCGAAAGGGAAACAGCCCAGACCACCAGCUAAGGUCCCAAAAUAUAUGUUAAGUGGAAAAGGAUGUGGCGUUGCCCAGACAACUAGGAUGUUGGCUUAGAAGCAGCCAUCAUUUAAAGAGUGCGUAAUAGCUCACUAGUCGAGUGACACUGCGCCGAAAAUGUACCGGGGCUAAACAUAUUACCGAAGCUGUGGAUUGUCCUUUGGACAAUGGUAGGAGAGCGUUCUAAGGGCGUUGAAGCAUGAUCGUAAGGACAUGUGGAGCGCUUAGAAGUGAGAAUGCCGGUGUGAGUAGCGAAAGACGGGUGAGAAUCCCGUCCACCGAUUGACUAAGGUUUCCAGAGGAAGGCUCGUCCGCUCUGGGUUAGUCGGGUCCUAAGCUGAGGCCGACAGGCGUAGGCGAUGGAUAACAGGUUGAUAUUCCUGUACCACCUAUAAUCGUUUUAAUCGAUGGGGGGACGCAGUAGGAUAGGCGAAGCGUGCGAUUGGAUUGCACGUCUAAGCAGUAAGGCUGAGUAUUAGGCAAAUCCGGUACUCGUUAAGGCUGAGCUGUGAUGGGGAGAAGACAUUGUGUCUUCGAGUCGUUGAUUUCACACUGCCGAGAAAAUCCUCUAGAUAGAAAAUAGGUGCCCGUACCGCAAACCGACACAGGUAGUCAAGAUGAGAAUUCUAAGGUGAGCGAGCGAACUCUCGUUAAGGAACUCGGCAAAAUGACCCCGUAACUUCGGGAGAAGGGGUGCUCUUUAGGGUUAACGCCCAGAAGAGCCGCAGUGAAUAGGCCCAAGCGACUGUUUAUCAAAAACACAGGUCUCUGCUAAACCGUAAGGUGAUGUAUAGGGGCUGACGCCUGCCCGGUGCUGGAAGGUUAAGAGGAGUGGUUAGCUUCUGCGAAGCUACGAAUCGAAGCCCCAGUAAACGGCGGCCGUAACUAUAACGGUCCUAAGGUAGCGAAAUUCCUUGUCGGGUAAGUUCCGACCCGCACGAAAGGCGUAACGAUUUGGGCACUGUCUCAACGAGAGACUCGGUGAAAUCAUAGUACCUGUGAAGAUGCAGGUUACCCGCGACAGGACGGAAAGACCCCGUGGAGCUUUACUGUAGCCUGAUAUUGAAAUUCGGCACAGCUUGUACAGGAUAGGUAGGAGCCUUUGAAACGUGAGCGCUAGCUUACGUGGAGGCGCUGGUGGGAUACUACCCUAGCUGUGUUGGCUUUCUAACCCGCACCACUUAUCGUGGUGGGAGACAGUGUCAGGCGGGCAGUUUGACUGGGGCGGUCGCCUCCUAAAAGGUAACGGAGGCGCUCAAAGGUUCCCUCAGAAUGGUUGGAAAUCAUUCAUAGAGUGUAAAGGCAUAAGGGAGCUUGACUGCGAGACCUACAAGUCGAGCAGGGUCGAAAGACGGACUUAGUGAUCCGGUGGUUCCGCAUGGAAGGGCCAUCGCUCAACGGAUAAAAGCUACCCCGGGGAUAACAGGCUUAUCUCCCCCAAGAGUUCACAUCGACGGGGAGGUUUGGCACCUCGAUGUCGGCUCAUCGCAUCCUGGGGCUGUAGUCGGUCCCAAGGGUUGGGCUGUUCGCCCAUUAAAGCGGUACGCGAGCUGGGUUCAGAACGUCGUGAGACAGUUCGGUCCCUAUCCGUCGUGGGCGUAGGAAAUUUGAGAGGAGCUGUCCUUAGUACGAGAGGACCGGGAUGGACAUACCUCUGGUGUACCAGUUGUCGUGCCAACGGCAUAGCUGGGUAGCUAUGUGUGGACGGGAUAAGUGCUGAAAGCAUCUAAGCAUGAAGCCCCCCUCAAGAUGAGAUUUCCCAACUUCGGUUAUAAGAUCCCUCAAAGAUGAUGAGGUUAAUAGGUUCGAGGUGGAAGCAUGGUGACAUGUGGAGCUGACGAAUACUAAUCGAUCGAAGACUUAAUCAA